UGAGGAAUAUUGGGUCAAUGGGGCGAGAGCCUGAACCAGCCAAGUCGCGUGAGGGAAGACGGUCCUACGGAUUGUAAACCUCUUUUGCCGGGGAGCAAAGGGGCCAUUGAUGGCAGGAUGAGCGUACCCGGAGAAAAAGCAUCGGCUAACUCCGUGCCAGCAGCCGCGGUAAUACGGAGGAUGCGAGCGUUAUCCGGAUUUAUUGGGUUUAAAGGGUGCGCAGGCGGACUCGUCAAGUCAGCGGUAAAAAUUCGGGGCUCAACCCCGUCCUGCCGUUGAAACUGCGAGACUGGAGUGCGACAGAGGAAAGCGGAAUGCGAGGUGUAGCGGUGAAAUGCAUAGAUAUCGCGCAGAA
rnacentral:rRNA from 1 species